rnacentral:rRNA from 1 species
UACGAGGGGGGCGAGCGUUGUUCGGAAUUAUUGGGCGUAAAGGGUGGCGUAGGCGGUUUGGUAAGUCUUAUGUGAAAUCUACAGGCUCAACUUGUAGUCUGCAUGAGAAACUGCCGGGCUUGAGUAUGGGAGAGGUGAGUGGAAUUCCUGGUGUAGCGGUGAAAUGCGUAGAUAUCAGGAGGAACACCUGUGGCGAAAGCGGCUCACUGGACCAUAACUGACGCUGAUGCACGAAAGCUAGGGGAGCAAACAGG